UACGUAGGUGGCAAGCGUUGUCCGGAAUUAUUGGGCGUAAAGCGCGCGCAGGUGGUUUCUUAAGUCUGAUGUGAAAGCCCCGGGCUCAACCUGGGAAUGGCGAUGGAUACUGGCUCGCUAGAGUGCGGUAGAGGAGAGUGGAAUUCCCGGUGUAGCAGUGAAAUGCGUAGAGAUCGGGAGGAACAUCAGUUGCGAAGGCGGCUCUCUGGACCAGCACUGACACUGAGGCACGAAAGCGUGGGGAGCAAACAGG
rnacentral:rRNA from 1 species